CUGUUAAAGAUAGAGAGUAGAUCAUAUGGCCCCCCAUUGAGGUCUGAUCUCAAUAUCACAGUGAAGGCCUAAGUCUGGUAUGACAUGAAGAGAAAUAAUCUGUAGAGACAGCCUAAAUCCAUAGAAGAACUGUGGCAAGUUCUCCAAGACACUUUGAACAACUUACAUGCGAACUACCAUAAAGCACUGUUCACAAGUGUACUUGACUUUAUUCAGUUUUAAUGUAUACUGACUGCACUUUGUAUUAAGAUAAUUGAUAAAUGAAAUCUAUUCAUUUAAAUAUUUUUGGAAAACAUCCUUUAGAACACAUGUCACUUUGCAAUGUACUGUAGCUAAUAGUAAAACUGAUAGCUGAAAUAUUCCCAGGAUGAGAGAGUACAAAUGACAGCAGCAGAUGGAUACGGCAAAGAAUAAUUUGCAAGACCAGAAUUGGCAAAAACUGUGCAACUUUAUGAUGCAAAUUUAGGUGUUUCUUGAAAGUAAUGGGCAACAAAUACACCCCCAUUGGAAGGAAGACAAUCACUGCGAAAUGCAUUCCUUUGUUGGUUAAAGGGGUUAAAUAUACAAUUAAAAAGAAGCUCCAGACCCAAUCAUCUGUUUCCGUAACAGCUGACAUAUGGUCUGACCAAAUCAUGUGGAAAACUGGGUGUCACAGCCCAUAGAUUAAAUCAAACUGAAAAUCAGUUGGAGUCCUUUCUGUUAGACUGUAGACAGUUUAGUGGCAGGCACAAUGGAGAGAACAUAGGCUUGGCAUUUGACGAGAUGAAUAUAACACAGCAAGUAAAGUUAGGCACAUUAUCACUGAUAACGCAGCCAACAUGAAGUGUGCAUUUAAAUUCAAGCUACCAAAGGAGGAGUAGCACAGUGAUGAUAGUGAUGUGGAAGAAGAAAACUUAGAUGAUAAGAGUCUUUGGGAGGAUGGAGCCUAGUGAGAGCAAGGCAAUCGCUGUUAUGUUUUGCACAUUCUCUGCAAUUAGUUGUGCUUGAUGGUAUGAAAGAAGCCAAGGCCUUUUGUUCAGCAUUUGCCAAAAUGUCAACAUUCACUUCAUUACUUCACACUAGUGCACAGUUUAAAGAGUGAUUUGAAGCUGCAUUUGGGACAGAUAGAUCCAUUUCUGCAGCUACAUCAACAUUCUGGAACAGUACAUUAAAGCAACUGCAGGCUCUUACAGCACUUGACCAUAGGGCUCUCACACAAUAUGCAGUUUAGACUUUCAACAUGUUCUUUUUUUUCAGUUUGUGAAUGGAAUCAAUCCUUCGAUUUAGGUACUGUUCUCUCUCCUUUUGCGGAAGCAACAGACCUUAUAGAGGGUGAGAAAAUGGUCACCAUUACUAUGCUGGUCACCACUGUAUUGGAUUUAAACACUAAUCUGCUCCAAAUAGUAGAGUUAAGAAGUCAGUGCCAGCUGUUAGUGACAGCCCUUUGUCAUUCCAAGAGGAUCUGUAAAGAUCGCUUAUAGCUAAUGCAUUUUAUUUGCUUUAAUAACCUAAAAAUUAGUUGUCUGCUUUUUAUUCUCAAGGAACCUUCUUCUUAUUUGUCUGCCAUAUAGUGUAUAUUUAGAAGAGCAUAAAAUAUGCAGUAGACAUACAACAAUGGUCCUUAGGUCCCCAAAUCCAGACAAUACAUUUUAACAUGUAUGAUUUGUAUGUGUUUCAUAUUUUUCAGAUACUUUGACUGCCUAAGUUGAGGCCACAGCAGAAGAAGACAUGCUGGAUUCUGAAGUUAACAGUGAUACAACCAUAGACUCUCCUCCUGGCAUCUAGCUGGAACCCCAGUUUAGAAGCAUACUGCUCUUGGCAGAUGGUGAAAUCCCUCAUGCCAAAUGUUUAUGAAAUAGGAUGAGAAUAUACAACACUAUAGUUGUGUCCCAAAUGAUGAAGGGGAGAACAAGGCAGAACCUAACGUGAGCAUGAGAACCAAGCCAAGGAAGACACAGGGGAUACCUCCCCACCCGGGCCUCUGCAUCCUCGGUUGCACCCUCUCUCCCCCACUAAACACUAUGCACCAUGUACUCUACCGUCUAGUGUAUGAAUUUUAGAAGGGUAGUUUCAUCUCAAAUGGAACACUAAAGGUUUUUUUACUAACUGGAAAUAUAAGGCAUUUCACACUCAUUGGCAUUAGUUCUGUAUAUGUAGAACAAGGUUACUUCGCUGUAGGACCUGGAGGGCUAAAGAUGUUGGAACUUUGAGGAUUUCUCUGCUCUAACACAGUUCAGUCAAUGACUCCAUUCAUAAGCAAGAAAAUCAUUGAACUGAGCUUACUGGAUGGACUUGUGCACCCCUGGUCUGUAGUUAUGGCAUAAGGAGUAUUAGAUGUUCAUAUUGCAUAAAUAUUUAUAUAAAAAGAAAUACUGGAGUAUUGUUAGUAUGAUCAAGAAUUUUGGGAAAAUAAAUCGCAAGAUAUUAUGGAGAUGGAAUUAGCACAGUUCUGAAGUUAUUAGUGCACUAAACAAACAAGCUCUUAUGUAACUAAUGUGGCAACUCCCCCACCCAGACUGAAUCAGGUAUUCUCUCUAUUUUUACUAAUUAGGAGUUUUGUACUUGUAGACUUUGUGGUUAGAAGCUAAAGAGCUUUUCACUUGUGUCUAAUAAUAGCUUGUCUCAGUUGUGCAUGUGUUUUUCCUUCACUGGUUAUUAAAAAGCACAUCAUUUACAGUCAGGUCGAUCACUAUUUGUAUAGAAGCAUAAUUUUGGUAUUUUUGCCUCUGUACAUCACCACAAUGGAUUUGAAAUGAAGCAAUCAAGAUGUGAUUGAAGUGUAGAUUUUCAGUUUUUUUUCAAGGGGUUUAACAAAAAUAUUACAGCCAUUUUUUAUGGAGUCUCUUCAUUUUCACAGGCUCAAAAUAAAUUGGACAUACUAACAAUUAUAAAGACUAUUUUUAAUGCUUGGAUGCAAAUACUUUACAGUCAAUGACUGCCUGACUUCUGGAACCCAUGGACAUCAUCAAAUGCAGAGUUUGUGUUUUUUGCCUCAUGAAUUCUUUUUUUUUUGUCUUCUGGAGUUCCUUCUGAAGUUUGGCACAUUCUUUACUGGUAGGUGGGUGUGAUAUGUGAAGACACCUGUAUAUCAAAAGUAUGUGGAUAUCCCUUUUGAUUAAUAUUGGGUUAUUUAAGCCACACUCAUUAUAACAGGUUCAUAAAAUCAAGCACACAACCAUACUAUCUCCAUAGAGAGUAGAUGACAAUAGAAUGACUUGUACUGAUGAACUCUGUAACUUUCAACGUGACACUGUCAGCUGCCCUGCUCUACUGUACGUGUUGUUAUUGUGAUGUGGAAAUGUCUAAGAACAACAGCUCAGACUCAGAGUGGUAAACCAAACAAGCAUUUGCACAACUCAUGUGAUGAAUUUAAGCUGUCUAAUGACAAUUUUUCCUCGCAGCCUCAGGUCAUAGAUUUUGUACACAAAACAUUGCCUCAGUUUCCAGUUUUGCCCUUGUCUAAUUCCUGUGACUCCUUUGUGGAGAAACCAUUAUCUUUUAAAGGCAAAAUAUCUAGCCUAUACUGUAAAAGUCUGAGAUUUUUCAUGACUGCAAAGGGUGACUGGAAACAAUAUCUAGGUGAAACAUUUCAGAACAACUUGACAUUCUAUAUUACAUAAGAGUUCUUACAUACAUAGGGUUCUUACAUCUAAGUUAUAUACACUUACUCAAUUUGUUCAAAACAUGGCCUUAUGCAGUGUAAAACUGUACACUGCAUUCAUUGGACAUUUUUCACAGAUGUUAGUCCAAUAUGUAACUGGUUUUAUGCAUCCUCUGUAACCCAUGCACACAUGUUUGGAUUUGCACAAAACUUGCAAAGUGUUCAGAGGCAAACCUAGAUUAUGUGAGGGCCCCAGGCAAAAUAAAUAUGUGGGGCCCUUCUGACACAUUUAUGUUGCUAUUAUGUCUUCAUGUUACCCAGAGAUACUACUAUGACCCUUUAUGUCUGCCAAGGAAUCACAGUAGAUGUGUGUUUCAAAGAUUUAAUUUCUUUAUUGAUUUCUUUCAUUUCUUUAUCUAUUCUACAAUUGCUGAUCAUGGUCUCAAAACUGUGUCCCUUCCCCCUAUGGCUGUAAAUCAUCCAGGGCUGAGCCCAGAUUCUUCUCCAUCAAAAAUCUUGUAUAACUGUUCUUCUAAAUAAACUGUUUCCAUUCUU